UACGUAGGGUGCGAGCGUUAAUCGGAAUUACUGGGCGUAAAGCGUGCGCAGGCGGUUGAUUAAGUCUGAUGUGAAAGCCCCGGGCUCAACCUGGGAAUGGCAUUGGAAACUGGUCGGCUUGAGUAUGGCAGAGGGGGGUGGAAUUCCGCGUGUAGCAGUGAAAUGCGUAGAGAUGCGGAGGAACACCGAUGGCGAAGGCAGCCCCCUGGGCCAAUACUGACGCUCAGGCACGAAAGCGUGGGGAGCAAAC
rnacentral:rRNA from 1 species